GAUGAACGCUGGCGGCGUGCCUAAUACAUGCAAGUCGAGCGAACAGACGAGGAGCUUGCUCCUCUGACGUUAGCGGCGGACGGGUGAGUAACACGUGGAUAACCUACCUAUAAGACUGGGAUAACUUCGGGAAACCGGAGCUAAUACCGGAUAACAUGUUGAACCGCAUGGUUCAACAGUGAAAGACGGUCUUGCUGUCACUUAUAGAUGGAUCCGCGCCGCAUUAGCUAGUUGGUAAGGUAACGGCUUACCAAGGCAACGAUGCGUAGCCGGCCUGAGAGGGUGAUCGGCCACACUGGAACUGAGACACGGUCCAGACUCCUACGGGAGGCAGCAGUAGGGAAUCUUCCGCAAUGGGCGAAAUCCUGACGGAGCAACGCCGCGUGAGUGAAGAAGGUCUUCGGAUCGUAUAACUCUGUUAUUAGGGAAGAACAAAUGUGUAAGUAACUAUGCACGUCUUGACGGUACCUAAUCAGAAAGCCACGGCUAACUACGUG
rnacentral:rRNA from 1 species